rnacentral:rRNA from 1 species
UACGUAGGGGGCGAGCGUUAUCCAGAUUUACUGGGCGUAAAGCGCGUGUAGGCGGCUGGUUAGGUGUGAUGUGAAAUCCUCGGGCUCAACCCGAGAACUGCAUUGCAAACCGGCCUGGCUAGAGUGCAGGAGAGGGAAGCGGAAUUCCAGGUGUAGCGGUGAAAUGCGUAGAUAUCUGGAGGAACACCGGUGGCGAAGGCGGCAUCCUGGACCGACACUGACGCUGAGGCGCGAAAGCUAGGGUAGCAAACGGG